GCCAGCUAAGACUUAGCCAGUCAAGAAGAUGAUCCAAACUAAUAUGAUUCUUUGGUUAAACCUCCUUCUCUUCUUGACAGCUCUCCCAGGCUGUCACUCAGAGGUUCAGUUGGUGGAGACUGGAGGAGGUGCUGUAGCUCCUGGAGGCUCCCUCCGCCUCUCCUGCAAGGCUUCAGGAUUCACCUUUACUGAUUAUGCAAUCAACUGGAUUCGUCAGUCUCCAGGGAAAGGACUGGAGUGGGUGGCUAGAAUUAGCAAACCUUCAGGAAGUAACCAAUGGUAUAAUUCCAAGGUUCAGGGACGAUUCACCAUCUCCAGAGACAAUUCUCAAACUUCAGCCUAUUUGCAAAUGAGCAGCUUGAAGCCUGAAGACUCUGCCUUGUAUUACUGUGCAAGAGACACAGUGACAACUUCUGCUUUCCUGCUUGUAGAAAAACCCCAGAAGCUCCUUCAGAACAGAUGCUGGCAAUAA